GACGAACGCUGGCGGCGUGCCUAAUACAUGCAAGUAGGACGCAGUUGCGAACGGGUGAGUAACGCGUAGGUAACUACCUAUUAGAGGGGGAUAACUAUUGGAAACGAUCGCUAAAACCGCAUACUAGUAGAUGGACCUUCGUUUUAUUAGCUAGUAGGUAGGGUAAUGGCCUACCUAGGCAACGAUACAUAGCCGACCUGGGAGGGUGACCGGCCAAACUGGGACUGGGACACCGCCCCGACUCCUACGGGAGGCAAGAGGAGGGAAUCAUCGGACAUGGGGGGAAACCUGAACGAGGAACGCCGCGUGAGUGGAGAAGGUUUUCGGAGCGUAAAGCUCUGUUGUUAAGGAAGCGGUACUUAACCAGAAAGGGACGGCUAACUACGUGCCAGCCGCCGCGGUAAUUC
rnacentral:rRNA from 1 species